ensembl:lncRNA
GAACAUACAUCUGCCUUUUCGUCGCUGGGAACAUAGCUCACAUGGCCAUGGCACCCAUUCAAAUUGCACUUCUGCCAGAGGUCAUUAAUGUGACAAGCAAUCCACAAACUGCAGAUUGUUCUGCAUCAUCAUCCACCAAAGUUAGCAUCUUAUGUUCCAUCGAAAACAGCACUGAAACCUACAAAGCCAUGCUAAAACUCGGACCUGCUGAAAUUGCACCACUUAAAGAAGGUAAGGCUAUAAUUAUCUUAUAAAUCUCUCUUUUGUUGGAACAAGAAGCUGACGUUUUAUUAUCUUGGUUGCACUUUAUUUUACAGUACGUGUACUUACAUGUACUUAUAGUGUACUUACAAUGUAUUUAUCUAAGAACGUUAUGGUAAUACAAGGUAAGUACAUGGGGUAGGGUUAGGUUUAGGGGUAGGUUCAGGGUUAGUACCUAGUUAUUACAUAGUUAUUGUAAUUACUAAAAUAAGUACAUAGUAUGUACAUGAGGAACAGGACUGUAAAAUAAAGUGCUACCAUUAUCUUUAUAAAGCAAAUAAUCAACUGAGUCUGCAAGUCACAUAACAUUUAUAUUAUUUUUAUAUAAACAUAUGUAAUUGACAGUUUUUGUAAUUGAGCAAUUUACCAAGUAUUGCAAAUGUAAACCUGUUCUAAGUCAAGCAUUAUUAAAAUGUGUAAAAUUCUCUCUCUCUCUUUUUUUUUUUUUGCAGAGAACAAUGGAAUAAUCAAAUAUACAGCAGAUUUCACUGUUGAUUGUCAGGCAGAAGGCAAACCAAGUUCACUUGAGGCCAGCUGCACUUUAGAGAACUCUUUGAAUCAGCUGCGAAAUCACACAAUAAGAGUACCAAUCAUUUACCCCAGUGACCUGUUUUGUGCAGAGGAAGAAAUUCAAGGGAGAAAAUGGCCAAAAACAAAGAAUAAUGAAACAGCCAUUAUAGAUUGUACUGCAACAGGGAGACAGGGCUUAAUGAAACGCAAAUGCACUGGAAAAACAUGGGGGGAAGAACUCUCUCUUUGUGUUAAAGUAGUCCUGAAUAGUGUAGCUUCGCAAGCAAAGGAUUUUGAAAAAGGACUUGGAGCAACACAAGAAGGCGCUCAGUUUAUCUUUCAGAGCUUGAAAAAUAACACAGCUGAAGACGAUGAGAACACUUUUGGUGACGUCAAGACUGCUGUUUCUGUUUUCGAAACUAUGAACAAGGCAUCAGUAAACAUGGCACUAGGCGAGAACCUUCUUGCAGUAAGCAUUUCAACUACUUCACUCACUUUUGAUACAUACACACACACACAAACAUUCAUACAUUAUUUAUAAGUAUUAUGUAUUAUAUAUAAUGAAAUAACUCAAAUAUUUUUUUUUAAAUUCAAGUUUUUAUAUAUUUAUAUACAGUGCAUUGUGAAAAUACUGCUUUAAAUUACUUUUUUCUACACUCCAUACACCAUAAUUACAAUGCAAAAACAGAACUUGUAAAUUUAUUAAAAAUAAAAAGCUGAAAUAAAUACUUUGCAUGAGUAUUCAAACCCUUAACUCAUUACUUAGCUGAAGCACCUUAACAGCCUCAAGUCUUUU